rnacentral:rRNA from 1 species
AGUGAACGCUGGCGGUAGGCCUAACACAUGCAAGUCGAACGGCAGCACAGUAAGAUCUCGCUCUUACGGGUGGCGACUGGCGGACGGGUGAGGCAUACAUCAGAAUCUACUUUUUCGUGGGGGACAACGUAGGGAAACUUCCGCUAAUAGCGCAUACGACCUACGGGAGAAAGCAGGGGAUCUUGGGACCUUGCGCGAUUGAAUGAGCCGAUGUCGGAUUAGCUAGUUGGCGGGGUAAAGGCCCACCAAGGCAACGAUCCGUAGCUGGUCUGAGAGGAUGAUCAGCCACACUGGAACUGAGACACGGUCCAGACUCCUACGGGAGGCAGCAGUGGGGAAUAUUGGACAAUGGGCGCAAGCCUGAUCCAGCCAUACCGCGUGGGUGAAGAAGGCCUUCGGGUUGUAAAGCCCUUUUGUUGGGAAAGAAAAGCAGCAGGUUAAUACCCCGCUGUUCUGACGGUACCCAAAGAAUAAGCACCGGCUAACUUCGUG